AAUUCUGUGUCAGGAAGAGGAAAGGAAUAUCAGGGUCUCAGCCAGGACAAUUUCAUGAACAAUGCCAUCUGGAGCUUCACUGUCCCCAGGUGCUUCCCAGUGGCCCAGAAGGUCUUUUCUCAGAAAGUCUUUUCCAGGUGGCAACUCAAGCUUUCAGUCAGAAUGGGAAGGUGUGAGGAGCAAAUAAAUAGGCCAUGGGGUGUGCCUUAGACAUGAGGGGUUGGGAAGUUGAUUCCCUGAGUUAUGGGCAUGGCCCAUUUUAGUGUGGGAGCUCAGCACUUAAGUUACUUUCCCUUGCCUCUCCUUAUAGUGUCUCCCACCUGGCAAGCAAGUAAAGAGGGACGUAAGAAGAUCAGAGGCACCACAAAAUGCCAUCAGCUCCCUCGCUUUCUAACAUCCUGCUAAGAUGCCAAACGCAUGACUUUUGUGUUGGUCUGCUGAAAUGACAAAUGACGUGGGGUAAGUGAGUUUAACAUCAGACUGAGUGAAGGAAGGGCAGUUAGUUGUGUGGUCCGGCCCAUAAAUAGUUUCCAGAAGCCUGCUGGCAAUCUGACACUGCUUUAUUACUUGGACUGUGCUAAUUAUAAGCCACUGCAGUGGGAGAGUAAGGAGAAUGAGUG
rnacentral:lncRNA from 13 species